UUCUUGGUAUCUCAGUGGUAAAGAAUCUGCUUGCAAUGCAGAAGACCCAGGUUUGAGCACUGGGUUGGAAA
rnacentral:tRNA from 1 species